AAAAAUAUUUAAAGGAUGUACAAUUUUUUAAGUGCCAUCUUCGUGAAGAAAUCACUCCAAGAACAUUACAACUAAAGAAGUCGAUAAGAAAAGACAUCAAUGAACAAGAUAUAUGGAAGAUAGAAAGAUUAAUAUUGAAAUCAAUAAUAAAUAAAAAAGAAUCGGAAUACAGAGAGUGGCAAGAAAAUCUGGUGGUAAACCUAACUGAAAAGAGUAUUCCAGAUGAUUAUAUGCGGUCGAUGAUAUAUUUAUUAUUUAUAAUAGUAAAAUAACAUCACCAGAAAAAAUCUUAAAAGAAGCUAAUGAAAUUAAUGAACAUAUUAAGUUCACCUAUGAGUGUGAAAAAUUAGAUAGUCUAAAUUAUUUGGAUAUCACAAUAACCAGGUUUAAAGAUCAUUUGGAGUAUAGUAGGUAUGAAAAACCUUGUAACACAAACAAAGUUAUAAAUUUUAGAUCGUAUUGUCCAAUUAAUCAGAAAAGAAAUAUUUAUUUAAUGGAAGUAAAAAAGAUAUUUUUUAGAACAACCAGAAGUGAAAAAAGAAUAGAAGAACUCAAAAAAAUAAAUAAGAAGUACUUGUUGAACAAUUAUCCGAAAAGAUUGCUGAGGAACUGGUAUGAUGAAUAUUCAAAAAGAAGAUUUCAAGUAAAGCAACAAAAAGAAAGUAAAAA